rnacentral:lncRNA from 1 species
CUUGUGUUUAAAUUCCAUGUGUGAGAGCAAAGCCCCAAGGGAAGAAUAAGAGGACUGUUGAUUACCAUCUUAUAUUCAGUUACAGUUACCAAGACCAUGAAUGAAAGGAAUAACUUGGCCUACAGCUUAGCAACUGCCACCGUCAUUAACUGCAAGAAUUAGAUGGUGAAACUGAAGUUCUGCUCUGUGGGAUACGGUAUGAGUGGCACCAUGAACUCAGGGCUGGGUGCCUCCAGUCUUUCAUAUGGGAGCAGCCAGUGGCAGCAACGCAGGCUCAGAGCUUUCCCAGUAUGGGCCAUAGCUCUCCAGACAGUUCGGAUGGUCUCUCCCCUCUCGCCAGGGGCUUGGCCAACAAAGCUGAUAACACGUCCUGAGAAAUUUUCCUCAGGGGAAAUGGGGUGAAACGAGCUCUAAGGACAACCUCGAAAGGGAAAGCCUGUAUGGGAUGGAAGAGGAAGCUCAGAUGACCAGUUGUUGCUAGACAGCCAGACCUGGGCCUCCUGCUACGCGGAUGUGUGUGCACAAGCCCCGGGUCGUCCUCGAGGCCUCGGCGCCAUGCUGCCUCCAGUUCUCCUCUGCCAAGACUUGUGAUUGUCUCAGCAGCCCCGAAUCCAGCUCUGGGCACAACCCGCAGCAGUUGCCGAACGUUCUGCCCAGUUCUGUGCUGAGGCCUUGCAUUGCUGUGGCUCUGCCCUCCGGUGCUUGUCCGCCCUUGGUUCUGUCAUCCUGCUUCAACAAUUAGGUAAAAGGCCAGCCGCUGGGCUUGUGGGGCUGGACAUGCAGUGGCCCUUGUCUAUUGCUUUGCAGGGGUUUGCUUUCUUCCUGUUUGCAUUGUUGUCUCCAGGCUGGCACUUGAAUGAGCCCAACAGGCCAUUACAGCCACACAGUCAAACAAAGGUCUUUUAAGAGAACAAUUGUCAUUUGUUUCCUAGUUGGCAUUUCUGGAGAUUUAGCAGGAUAAUCUUGGAUGUACGUCAGCAAGCAUGAGCAGGAAUCAUCUUAAUCCCUAACAAGGCAUACAAAUGAAUUGGGACUUCAUGAAAAGUGUACAAAGAAUUUUUCUUUCUCCUUUCUCUUCCUCAGUUCCAGCAGCGGCGGGGUGUG